rnacentral:rRNA from 1 species
CCUACGGGUGGCAGCAGUGAGGAAUAUUGGUCAAUGGCCGGAAGGCUGAACCAGCCAUGCCGCGUGAAGGUCAGUGCCCUAUGGGCGUUAAACCUCUUUUGUGCGGGAGCAAUAAUGGUCACGUGUGGCCAGACGAGAGUACCGUACGAAUAAGCAUCGGCUAACUCCGUGCUAGCAGCCGCGGUAAUACGGGGGGUGCAAGCGUUAUCCGGAUUUAUUGGGUUUAAAGGGUGCGUAGGCUGGGAGGUAAGUCAGCGGUGCAAUGCCCCCGCUCAACGGGGUGAAGUGCCAUUGAUACUGGCUUGCUGGAGUGCGGAUGCGGUAGGAGGAAUGUGUGGUGUAGCGGUGAAAUGCAUAGAUAUCACACAGAACACCGAUUGCGAAGGCAUCUCACGAAUCCGCGAUUGACGCUGAUGCACGAAAGCGUGGGUAUCAAACAGGAUUAGAUACCCCGGUAGUC